rnacentral:rRNA from 1 species
UACGGGGGGAGCAAGCGUUGUUCGGAUUUACUGGGCGUAAAGGGCGCGUAGGCGGUCAGCACAAGUCAGUUGUGAAAUCUCCGGGCUUAACUCGGAAAGGUCAACUGAUACUGUGCGACUAGAGUGCAGAAGGGGCAACUGGAAUUCCCGGUGUAGCGGUGAAAUGCGCAGAUAUCGGGAGGAACACCAAUGGCGAAGGCAGCUCGCUGGGACGGUACGUGACGCUGGAGGCGCGAAAGCGGUGGGGAGCAAACA